AACGAACGCUGGCGGCAUGCCUAACACAUGCCAGUCGAACGAGACCUUCGGGGCUAGUGGCGCACGGGUGCGGAACGCGUGGGAACCUGCCCUUAGGUUCGGAAUAACUCCCCGAAAGGGGUGCUAAUAACGGAUAAUGUCUUCGGACCAAAGAUUUAUCGCCUUUGGAUGGGCCCGCGUUGGAUUAGCUAGUUGGUAGGGUAAAAGCCUACCAAGGCGACGAUCCAUAGCUGGUCUGAGAGGAUGAUCAGCCACACUGGGACUGAGACACGGCCCAGACUCCUACGGGAGGCAGCAGUGGGGAAUAUUGGACAAUGGGCGAAAGCCUGAUCCAGCAAUGCCGCGUGAGUGAUGAAGGCCUUAGGGUUGUAAAGCUCUUUUACCCGGGAUGAUAAUGACAGUACCGGGAGAAUAAGCUCCGGCUAACUCCGCG
rnacentral:rRNA from 1 species